GACGAACUUUGGCGGCGUGCUUAACACAUGCAAGUCGAACGGAAAGGCCCUGCUUUUGUGGGGUGCUCGAGUGGCGAACGGGUGAGUAACACGUGAGUAACCUGCCCUUGACUUUGGGAUAACUUCAGGAAACUGGGGCUAAUACCGGAUAGGAGCUCCUGCUGCAUGGUGGGGGUUGGAAAGUUUCGGCGGUUGGGGAUGGACUCGCGGCUUAUCAGCUUGUUGGUGGGGUAGUGGCUUACCAAGGCUUUGACGGGUAGCCGGCCUGAGAGGGUGACCGGCCACAUUGGGACUGAGAUACGGCCCAGACUCCUACGGGGGGCAGCAGUGGGGAAUAUUGCACAAUGGGCGGAAGCCUGAUGCAGCAACGCCGCGUGCGGGAUGACGGCCUUCGGGUUGUAAACCGCUUUCGCCUGUGACGAAGCGUGAGUGACGGUAAUGGGUAAAGAAGCACCGGCUAACUACGUGCCAGCAGCCGCGGUGAUACGUAGGGUGCGAGCGUUGUCCGGAUUUAUUGGGCGUAGAGGGCUCGUAGGUGGUUGAUCGCGUCGGAAGUGUAAUCUUGGGGCUUAACCCUGAGCGUGCUUUCGAUACGGGUUGACUUGAGGAAGGUAGGGGAGAAUGGAAUUCCUGGUGGAGCGGUGGAAUGCGCAGAUAUCAGGAGGAACACCAGUGGCGAAGGCGGUUCUCUGGGCCUUUCCUGACGCUGAGGAGCGAAAGCGUGGGGAGCGAACAGGCUUAGAUACCCUGGUAGUCCACGCUGUAAACGGUGGGUACUAGGUGUGGGGUCCAUUCCACGGGUUCCGUGCCGUAGCUAACGCUUUAAGUACCCCGCCUGGGGAGUACGGCCGCAAGGCUAAAACUCAAAGGAAUUGACGGGGCCCCGCACAAGCGGCGGAGCAUGCGGAUUAAUUCGAUGCAACGCGUAGAACCUUACCCGGGUUUGACAUGGAUCGGGAGUGCUCAGAGAUGGGUGUGCCUCUUUUGGGGUCGGUUCACAGGUGGUGCAUGCCUGUCGUCAGCUCGUGUCGUGAGAUGUUGGGUUAAGUCCCGCAACGAGCGCAACCCUUGUUCACUGUUGCCAGCACGUUAUGGUGGGGACUCAGUGGAGACCGCCGGGGUCAACUCGGAGGAAGGUGGGGAUGACGUCAAGUCCUCAUGCCCCUUAUGUCCAGGGCUUCACGCAUGCUACAAUGGCUGGUACAGAGAGUGGCGAGCCUGUGAGGGUGAGCGAAUCUCGGAAAGCCGGUCUCAGUUCGGAUUGGGGUCUGCAACUCGACCUCAUGAAGUCGGAGUCGCUAGUAAUCGCAGAUCAGCAACGCUGCGGUGAAUACGUUCCCGGGGCU
rnacentral:rRNA from 1 species